rnacentral:rRNA from 1 species
CGAACGUUAGCGGCGCGCCUAACACAUGCAAGUCGCACGAGAAAGGGGGCAACCCCCGGUACAGUGGCGCACGGGUGAGUAACACGUGGGUGAUCUGCCCAGAAGAAGGGGAUAACCUCUCGAAAGGGGGGCUAAUACCGCAUAGGACCACCGGGGUUUUGGCUCUGUGGUGAAAGGGGGCCUCUGUUUACAAGCUCCUGCUUCUGGAUGAGCUCGCGUCCCAUCAGCUAGUUGGUAGGGUAAUGGCCUACCAAGGCGAAGACGGGUAGCUGGUCUGAGAGGAUGAUCAGCCACACUGGAACUGAGACACGGUCCAGACUCCUACGGGAGGCAGCAGUGGGGAAUCUUGCGCAAUGGGCGAAAGCCUGACGCAGCGAUGCCGCGUGAGUGAUGAAGGCCUCGGUUGUAAGCUCUGUGGGAGGAGACGAAUAAGUUUAGGUCGUAAUAUCCAACGCGACUGACGGUAGUCUCCUUAGUCAAGCACCGCGUAACUC